AAAUUGAAGAGUUUGAUCAUGGCUCAGAUUGAACGCUGGCGGCAGGCCUAACACAUGCAAGUCGAACGGUAACAGGAAGCAGCUUGCUGCUUUGCUGACGAGUGGCGGACGGGUGAGUAAUGUCUGGGAAACUGCCUGAUGGAGGGGGAUAACUACUGGAAACGGUAGCUAAUACCGCAUAACGUCGCAAGACCAAAGAGGGGGACCUUCGGGGGG
rnacentral:rRNA from 1 species